rnacentral:lncRNA from 1 species
UGCCCAGCUUCCGUAUGCAACACAGGCAGGCAGACCACGCACCCAACACUCCGCGACUCGGCCAAGGGGCCGCGACAUCAAGAAGGCAGGGCCAUCAGAAGGCACGGGAGGAACGGGGGGUUGAGCCCUCGGAUUUUGCUGCAUUGUCACGAACUAGGAAUGUAGGGGUAGGAGCAACUGCACCUCCAGCCAAAAAUGGACCGGACGCGUUUUUCCUGGCGGCGCCCUCCCCGCCCGUGUGCAGGUCUCAAUACGGGAGGAGAACCAUCAGAGGAGAGCCAGUGCAGAUCCCAGAUCUGGCCUCUGUCUUCUCCAGUCACAACCCGCCUUGGCUGUUUGGUGGAAGAGGUCACCCUGCUGCAUAAAG